rnacentral:rRNA from 1 species
AGUGAACGCUGGCGGUAGGCCUAACACAUGCAAGUCGAACGGCAGCACAGUAAGAGCUUGCUCUUACGGGUGGCGAGUGGCGGACGGGUGAGGAAUACAUCGGAAUCUACUUUUUCGUGGGGGAUAACGUAGGGAAACUUACGCUAAUACCGCAUACGACCUACGGGUGAAAGCAGGGGAUCUUCGGACCUUGCGCGAUUGAAUGAGCCGGUGUCGGAUUAGCUAGUUGGCGGGGUAAAGGCCCACCAAGGCGACGAUCCGUAGCUGGUCUGAGAGGAUGAUCGGCCACACUGGAACUGAGACACGGUCCAGACUCCUACGGGAGGCAGCAGUGGGGAAUAUUGGACAAUGGGCGCAAGCCUGAUCCAGCCAUACCGCGUGGGUGAAGAAGGCCUUCGGGUUGUAAAGCCCUUUUGUUGGGAAAGAAAAGCAGCAGGUUAAUACCCCGCUGUUCUGACGGUACCCAAAGAAUAAGCACCGGCUAGCUUCGUG